UGUUUGCGUGUGUGCAUGCAAGUUUGUGU
rnacentral:piRNA from 1 species